CUGCGAGGGUCUGGAGAGUGGCGGAGGCCGGGGCCGCUGCGGGGCCUUCCCUUCCGCCGCAGAGCCCCGCUCCCAAAGUCCUGUGCGCGGCCUCACACACCGGACGGCGAGCAGAGCGGGGGAAAGCCAGUCGGCCAGCAACUGGGAGGGAAACUAAGCCGGGCGCCGGCGGGCUCCAGCCUCUGCUUCUGCCGCGAGUGAGCCGGAGCAGGAGAAGGUGACCAGAACAGAAGCCACGGUGUCUGUCAUAACUUCAUCGUGGAAGUGACAUACCAUCACCUCUUCCGUACUGCACUGGUCAGUCAGCUCCAUACAAGGAGAAGGGGACUACACAAGCGUGCGACCGUCAGGAGGCUGGAUCGUCGGGGACCCUCCUGGAGGCUGAUGGCAUAUUCUGAGGGGCUGCUCUGCAGAAAAGGCCAAGUGAAAAGUCAUCCAAUGACGAGGAAGGAGGAAGACGGCACGUCGCGGGCACGAGGAGGCUGUGCUGCUCUGACGCUGAGCAGGCUGGGAUGGCACAAUCACCGGGAAAAGUAGCAAACGCCAGUCAGAGAAUGUCAUGGCAGUGCUCCGUCAACGCUAAUGGCUUUUAAUAACACUGGAACCAACAUGUGGCAUUCCACGAGGCGAUGGAGUUGAAGUUUGUCUUCGGUUGAUACAGAAUUCUCUCCCAUAUGGCAGCUAAUGGGCAGUGAGAGGAUGUUGGAGAUCAGCUGUGCUGAACUGCUUGCUGUUCCUUGAAGCAGUCAAGCUUCUGACACCUCUGUGCCCUAUAGAUGGCCCUUAUUGAUUAGUAGCUGCCUCUUCCCAUCCAGACACCCUCCCCCCAUCCCUGGCUCAGCUUGUUUACCCCUCUUACUCAUUCUUCUAAAGCCAAUUCAGAUAUCUUGUGUCCUCAGGACAUCACCCUAGUCUGCUCUAAGUGCCCAUCUUCCAAAGUUGAUUGCGAGCCGUGAUACAUUUAUCCGUGUCUAGCACGUUGCCUGUCUGUCUCUCUUGUAGACUGUCUGUUCUUGAGGAAGAGACUGAUUCUUAUUCCCAGGAGCCAGCACAGCUUUGACAAAUAGAGAGUUCUUAUUAAUGUUGAGUAUUUCAGUAUACAAAUAACUGAAAGUAAUAAACAAGUG